UGGGACAAAAUCAAAAACAAACAGAAAUUCAAUGAGAAUUGUUGUAACAGUUAAAAACUUUCAAUUAGCUGAUGCUGGUCAAUAUAAAUGUAGAACUGCACUACCAGACCUUACUCAAUUUAAUAGUACAGCUGUCAACAUAACAGCAAAAGAACCCCAAACAGAUAGUGUUGGUUCAAAUGUUGGUUCCAUAGUGGCUGGUGGAAUUCUUUUUUUGGUCAUUAUUGGUGUUCUAAUCUACUUUCUCGUCAUUCAAAAGAA
rnacentral:sRNA from 1 species